rnacentral:rRNA from 1 species
GAUGAACGCUGGCGGCGUGCCUAAUACAUGCAAGUCGAGCGAACAGACGAGGAGCUUGCUCCUCUGACGUUAGCGGCGGACGGGUGAGUAACACGUGGAUAACCUACCUAUAAGACUGGGAUAACUUCGGGAAACCGGAGCUAAUACCGGAUAAUAUAUUGAACCGCAUGGUUCAAUAGUGAAAGACGGUUUUGCUGUCACUUAUAGAUGGAUCCGCGCCGCAUUAGCUAGUUGGUAAGGUAACGGCUUACCAAGGCAACGAUGCGUAGCCGACCUGAGAGGGGGAUCGGCCACACUGGAACUGAGACACGGUCCAGACUCCUACGGGAGGCAGCAGUAGGGAAUCUUCCGCAAUGGGCGAAAGCCUGACGGAGCAACGCCGCGGGAGUGAUGAAGGUCUUCGGAUCGUAAAACGCUGUUAUUAGGGAAGAACAAAUGUGUAAGUAACUAUGCACGUCUUGACGGUACCUAAUCAGAAAGCCACGGCGAACUACGU